UAAUAUCUUUAUUAUGUUUGAAUACACCAGUUCUCGUCCGAUCACUGAAGUUAAGCAACGUCGAGCGUGGAUAGUACUUGGAUGGGUGACCGCUUGGGAACACCACGUAACGUAUGUU
rnacentral:rRNA from 1 species